rnacentral:lncRNA from 1 species
UAAUUUUGUGGAGCUUCCAGAAUCAAUAGGUUAUUUGACAAAAUUACAGAUGUUGGAUCUCUCAGGGACAAAAAUUAUUGAGUUACCUAAUUCGAUAAAGAAUCUCAAGCAGUUGAAGGUGAUGAGGAUGGCAUUCUGUCCAAUACAGAGGUUGCCAGCCGGUAUUGGAAUGCUAGAGAGCAUGGAGGAGCUCAAUGUCCGAAAUUGUCAACAACUUGCGGGCGAACUCCCAACUGCAAUUGGCGAACUAUUGUCUCCAAGUAUCCUAGACAUAUCGCAAACUAGUGUUUGUGCAGUCCCAUCGACGACAAUUAAUUCCCUUACGCAACUCCAAGAGCUGGAUCUAUCAUUUUGUAAUGAGCUUCAAGAGCUGCCAGAACUUCCCUCGAGUUUGAAUUGCCUACGUGUUAGAUCGGCAUCAUUGCAGUUAGUUCCGGAUCUUAGUUACCUCACGAAUUUGGUGGUUUUGGAACUGUCCAACAACUCUGGACAAGCACUUGCCCAAGCAUCAACUCUUCAAUUGCAAUGGGUUGGGAAGUUAUCUAAGCUGGAGCGGUUGGAGUUGUGCCUUUCAGAUCUUCCCGUGCCGUCAACGGAGUUGGGUUGCCUACCUCGACUUAAAAAACUCACCUUACCUUGCAUGGAUAGUUUCGAUUCGGUAGUCGUUGGACCACAAUUUUCGCACUUGAAAAAUUUGUCCACAUUGCAUCUUUGUCGCUGUCCACUGAUGGAAAUUCAACUAGAUGGGCUUGAACUAUUGGGAGAUUUGACUGUGACAUACUGCGAGUUUCUCGAGGGAUUGUCAGUUAUUUCAUCGAGCUUGAGGAAGCUCUCUAGAAUGGAAGUUAGAAAUUGCCCAAAGCUAAUUCGAUUUCUCAGUAUGAUGGAAUCAUUGGAGCAUCUCGAAGUUGGUCACUGCAAAUCCUUAGGAGGGUUGUACGGUUUAUCAAACUUGAAGAAGCUGAAGUUUUUAACAUUCAUCAGGUGCCCUGUGCUACGGGUUAUGGAGGGCCUUGAAGAAUUGGAUCAUUUGCAGCACUUGGAAUUCGGCACGUGUCCAUCGUUGAAAGUGUUGACUAAUCUAUCCAACUCAAAGAUACCAAAUAAAUGCAGGAUAGAUGUAUGGGAUUGCGAGAAGUUACCAGAUUGCUAUGGUGGCUGUUACGGGGAUUACAGAAAGGAGAUUCUUGAGUGGACGAGGAGGGGAUUAAACCAGGUGCGCCUUCCUUCUACCCUUCACUUAUUUUUCAAAUUUUAAUUUUUCGGAGACGCAGGUGGUAGGCAUGAGUUUUAUUUCCCUUGUUCCGUUUACUUUCAUCUCUCUCUCUCUACGUUCCGCAAACAACUGCAUCCUGUCAUUCUUUCUCUGUUAACGUUUCUCAAUACUCGGCCUUCCUCCUUUCAGGAGGGUGCGGCACAGUUCUUGGAACGCGGCCAACCGCUCAUCGUACAGGUAUGGUCUCUUCUACGGACCCAAAAUUCUUCUCGCGUUGGUGAAGUGAGAAAAUUUUUUUUCUCAAAUUUGUUGUAUGAAAAUUUUAUCUUUUGUGAACUCAAUAUAUUCUCAAAUAUCAAAGAGCUGUAUUGCAAAAUGAAAUUAAGGUCGUUUUCAGAAAAUAAGUUGCAGUCUCUAGAGAUCUUUGUGCUAAAAUGAAAAUAAAAAAUGUUCCCUAAAACCAAAUUAACUCGAAAUUUUCUUUCAAAUAUGGGGCAAUCCGUAAGCAGAGAGAUGAGUUUAAGGUAGAAGAUAGAGAUCCUAAAAUAUCACUCGAGUCAAAUUAAAUUUCAAUUACAGAAUUUUUUCCUAUAGGGAGUAGCCUCGUUAAACUAGACAUGUAGAUGCACUUUGUGACUAGUCUAGAAGGUAGACACCUGAGAUGAUUAUUAACUCUUUCACAUGUCAACCAUAUAAUUAUGAGUGUAGUUAUUUCUUACACUUGCAAUUGAUGUAAUAAAGAUCCUUCAUAUGAACAAGAAAGUGAUUGUGUCAAUAUUUCCCCAACCAAAGAUAAAAAUCUCUCACGCGGGCACAAAAGUAGAAGCUCAAAUGUAGUUAACUGUUCGAAUAAAUUUCUUUUAAAUAACUAAACUUUCCCUUCAUAUUUUAAAUGAAAAAAUAAAUAUAUAGAAACGAAUAUAUAAUUAAUGUAUUUGAGGUGUUACAAUUGGGUGAGCCACGAGAAAAGGAAUAGUAGUGAAAAAAGAUACACCAAAAAUAGAGUUAGUUUAUAUGCAAUAGCCGCUUGCCAACAAUGUUCUACUUAUCCUGCUACACCUAUUAGACUAACUAUAUGGUUUGGCAUUCUCCAUUAGAAGGCAAGCAUGUUAAAUAGUACAACUCUAUCAUUUGCCCUAAUUUUACAUAUUGCUUGAUAUUACAAUUUUUUCUUGUCAAAGGAUUUAUUCAAGUUUUCUAUUAAAUAAAAAGAAUUCUGUGAAAAAUAGAGGUGCCUAUACAAAACUUAAUAUUCAUGAUGUCCGUUUAUCUAGCAAAACAUAUUGUUUUCUUUUCCUGAUAGCUGAAUUUAAUUAGAGUGAAAUACGAAGUAGUCAAUAAAAUUUGAGUGAAAUAUGUACAUACUUCAUGGAUAUUGAAUCAAUAUACUGCUAAAUCGUUGGAUAAUUUCAUCAAGUUCUCUUUUAUGAAUACAUGUCAAAAGCUUAUAAAACCAGGGACUUUUGGUGGAGACGUCAACAAUCAUCACCUGAAGCUAAGAUGGCUUUCUUGGGGUUUUCCUCCUCUAGAUUGUAGAAUGGCCAAGUUGCACUUGAAAAAUCUAGUAAUUUUCGAACUUUCACACCAUAGAAACACAAAAAACCGGGGUGGAUGAAAAGUUUUGAAAGUCUGAAUUCAUGCCUUUGUUCUCUCAACAUAGUAUUUUUUUUCUUUAAACCCUCUCCGAUAAUGUUUCAACUACUUUUGCAGAUGUUAAUAAAAUUGGAAGUUCCUUAUUACACGUUACCUAAAUUUUAUGAAACUUUCGUAACAUUGAAAUGGACUGGUUACCCCAGUUUGGAGACAUUGUAUUUUCACUAUUGUCUAAACUUGCGAAAAUUUGACUCCUCUAUUGGGAAGAUGAAAGUUCUUACUCACUUGGACAUUAUUCGGUGUACGAAUCUUCGAACUUUGCCCGAAGAGAUUGGAGAACUGGCGAAUUUGACGCACUUCUCUAUCAAAAAGUGCUCUCAAAUGGAGAAACUUCCACACUCUAUAGGGAAAUUAGUAUCAUUGUCUAAGUUGGAUAUAUCAUCCUCAAGAAUUACAAGUUUACCUGAUUCAAUUGGCAAUGCAAAACAUCUGUCAUUCCUAAAUCUAUCAGGCACACCAAUUGUGGGACUUCCAAUUUCCAUCGGAGAGCUUAUGCGACUUGAGUUUCUUUCACUCAAAGAUUGUCGAAAUUUGGGGGAGCUUCCAGAAUCAUUAGGCAACUUGACAUCAUUACAGAAGUUGAAUCUCUCAAGGACAAACAUUGUUGAGUUACCUAAUUCGAUAAAAAAUCUGAAGCAACUCAAGGUGAUGAGGAUGGGAUUUAGUCCAAUAAGGAGGUUACCUGCCAGUAUUGAAAUGCUAGGGAAGUUGGAGGAACUCUAUGCCGAACAUUGUGAACAAUUUGCAGGCGAACUUCAGACUCAAAUUGGCAAACUAUUUUCUUUAAGUGUCCUCGACAUUUCAUAUACUCGUGUUAGUGCAAUGCCGAAGGCAAUCGAUUAUCUCACGCGACUCCAAAAGCUGGAUUUGACACAUUGUAAUGAACUUCAAGAGUUGCCAAAGCUUCCCUCGAGUUUGCGUUGUCUACGUGUUCACUCGGCAUCAUUGCGGUCAGUUCCCGAUCUCAGUAACCUCACGAAUCUAGUAGAAAUGCUUUUGUCUAAUGGCUUUGGACAAGCUCUUGCCCAAUCAUCAAACCCAAUGCAAACUUUCCAAUUACAAUGGGUUGGAAAGUUAUCUAAGCUAGAGAAGUUGAGCUGGGGCCUUUCAAAUUUUCCCAUUUCGUCAAUAGAGUUGGAUUGCCUACCUCGACUUAGAGAACUCACUUUAUCUAGCAUGGACAAUUUUGACUCAAUAGUUGUUGGACCACAAUUUUUCAACUUGAAAAAUUUGUCCAUAUUGUGCCUUCAUAGUUCUCCACUGAGGGAAAUUCAAUUGGAUGGGCUGAAUUAUUGAGAAAUUUAGGUGUGAGAGAAUGCGAGUUUCUCGAGCGACUGUCAGUAAUUUCAUCAAGUUUGAGGAAGCUCUGUAAAAUGGAAGUUUUAGAUUGCCCAAAGCUACUUGAAAUUCAAUUUCCCAGUACAAUGGAAUCAUUAGAGGAACUUCGAGUUGGCUACUGCGAUUCCUUGGGAGGGUUGCAUGGUUUAUCAAACUUGAAGAAGCUGAAGGCUUUGCGGAUCUACCAAUGCAAUGGGCUACGGGUUGUUGAGGGCCUUGAAGAAUUGGAGCUUUUGGGUAUUUUGUAUUUUUCCAGGUGUGGAUCGUUGGAAAGGUUGACUGAUGUAUCCAACUCAAAGAUACCAAAUGAAUGCAUGAUAGAAGUAUGGGGUUGCAUGAAACUAAGUAGUUAUGAGGGCACUUACCGGGAUUAUAAAGAGAUGAUUCUUGUCAGGAUGAGAAUGACAUUCAACGAGGUGCGGCUUCCUUCUAUCUUUGACUUAUUUUUCAGAAACGCCAUGCUGUAGGCAUCACAUUUCCUCAUUUUCGCUUGUUCCGUUUGCUUCCUUGUCUCUCUGUCUAUCUCUGUCUUGCAUGUUCUUACUUUUUUAUAUAAAUCUAUGGAUUAUUGUUUGGUCCACUAUUAGUGUAAAGGAAACAUUCAUCGUUUUACUGUCUGAGCUUAAUUUUGUAAUCGGAAUUUUUCAACGUGUCAACCAUCUAAUGGUGUGUAUGUGUAAAUUGUUUCUUACAAGAGCAAUGGGCUUAAUAAAGAUCCUUUCCAUAACUAAGCAACGAUUAUAUUAAUAUUUCACCGAGCAAAGGUAAAAAUCACGCUCUCUACACUUAUCACUUGAGUUUAAAAUGAACUAGUAAAUUAUAUAAAAACAAAUAUUCGAUUUAUGUAUUAUGAAAAAUUUGAAGUGAUACUUAUCGGACGAGACAUGAGAAAAGGAAAAACAGUGAAAAAAGGUAUAUUAGGAGUAAGUUUAUAUGCAAUACCCACUAGUCAACAAUACUUUGCUUAUCGAGCUAUCCCUAGCAAACUGUAACUGUUUGGUGUAAGAACGGGCAUUUCACCUUUAAUUGUUAGCGAGAUGGUGACUCAAUAAUGGGUCUUCUAACCCACUCAACAGUAGUUAUUGCAACUACGGAUCAAUUAUGUCAUGGGAGUAACAGUAGACUCUGUAAUUGGCACAUUUUUAUCUAAAGCAAUCAUUGAUCGUCUCAUGCCCGAUGAUUGUACCAUCAUAGACUUGGUCGUUUGACUGGCUUUGCCCUACGGUUCAUAAAUGCUGGUGAAGCGAACGACUGUAAUGUUUGGACUUUAGGGCAGGCCGAUUAGAUCAUAUUUGCAUUUUCUUGUCCUCCAAUAUAGGUAGAAGACUAAUUCAUAUUUUUCCCGUUCUAGGAGGAUGAAAUGGAGGAGAACGACCGCAUUGAUUUUUCCACGGGCAUAUUAGAAUGUAUCUGCAAUCCCUUAUCGUUUUUUCAGGGGAGGAGUCUUCGGAGGCAGACAGGAUGAGUAAAUUGUCUUGCGGGAUAAUGCAGACGUGGAGUCAGGAAAAAUUGAAUUGAUCUCUAUGCAUUUUGGUUAAGGGUACAAAAACUAAAUCGAUGGCUCCAAGAGAAUGCUUUCACUCUUUUUGAUGAACUCAAGUGCACAGAGGUCGAGGGACCAGUUUCCUGGAAACAGGAAUGCAGUUUGCAUGUGGAUUUACUCUGCUUCGAGGAUUUGCUAACUGUCCAUUCGUUGAGAGGUAAGUCAUUCCCUCUGUGAAUAUCAAAUUGCUUGCCACAUAGAAGCAUGGUCAAGAUUCUCGACAACUUAGACAAUAGUUUCCAAUGCAUAUGAUACUUUUAUCUGGGUAAAUGAAUGAUUCUACCAAAAUUUCUCAAAUAACUGACGAGUGCAAAAAACCAAGAGGGGAGAUGAAGAGAAACAAGCUGAAGUGGGCAAUUUUGGGAUGUCCCAAACGGUGAUCAUUAGAUCAAAUAUUGCAUGAACGCCCCCAAAAUGUGUCAAGGUUACUAACACGUGCAAUCCUUGGCCCUAGCAUUAUGCUGUCACGGAUGACUAGAUUUAAUAGGAGAAAAUAUUAGUCUUUCCUGUGCCAAUGUGUGAAGUGGGCAAAACUGAUGGUAGAAGAGACUAAUUAGAAGAUUAUCUGCAAGCCAUUCUAAUUUCUUCUAGGAUGAGGUUGUAGUGGCAGAAGCAAAAGCAGACACUAUUGACGUCUUCUCAAUUCUCAAGAGUCUGACGUCGAGCAUUCACUUGAGUUUUUGUAACAACAAUUCUAAUUUCAUUUUGUUCGGUUCUCAUCCGUUCAAAUCAUCAAAUCUCAUUUGGCUUUCAUUUCAUUGUUUAUUUUCAACUCAUUUACAGCUCUUGUUUCUUCUCAAAUCAUGCAUACUUGCAGCUCGCAUGCUCCAGACACAAACUCUUUUGAUAUUUGCAACAAGCAUGGACUACUGAUGUAUAUGAUCAUAAGUAGCCUCAUGUCGAAAUAGAAAAUAGUACUCCCACCAUUCUCCUCUUUCCUUCAGCACCUCACCAUCUCAAAGUAACAUGCAGGAGCACCAUUUGACAUACACAAUCACAUAUGAACAAGAUUUGAUCCACACAAACACUUAUGAGCAGCAUUUAACAUACAUCACCUAUAUAUCUAAUUAGUUCACAUUCCAAUCAGCUAUAUACGGGAAAUCUAGCAAAGACACAACAAACGCAACUUCAAUUGAACAUUGAGACAUUGGUAAACAGAAUGCAAUAGGAACUAUCUGCGAUGGAGUCGGGCAUUCCGCUGAAAAGGUUGUGAGCAUGUGGUGUGAAGUACUAUUAACACCAGAAUGGCAUAGUGUAAUACAGAACACAAACAUCAGAGUGGAAAAUCCAUGCGUACAAGCAAUUCUUACCACUUAAUUGGAAAAGAAACAACCCGGCGGUGAUGAGAAUUGACACAAAACAGAACAGAAAUGAAAAGAGACAACGGAAUUAACUUCAUCUUCACGGAAUGCCCUCAAGCUCAUUGGUCCCUCUGUUUUCUUAUGGACAACAUCAGAAUUGACAAAAAACAGAACAGAAAUGAAAAGACAAAACCAAAGGCAAUCGAAAUCACUUUUAAAAUUAAUCGGAGACGAAGUGACCUGGCAGGUGUGGCUCUCAGUUGUACUUAUCGAGCUAUGCCUAGCAAACUGUAACUGUUUGGUUUGCAGUCACCUUAGAAAGGCAAGCAUGCGAAAUAGUACAACUCUAUCAUUUGUCAGAACUUUAAAUAUUGCUUGGUAUUCAUUUUUUUUCUUCUUGUCUAAGGUUUAUUAAACAGAAAAAUUUGUGAAAAAAGAAGAAGAAGAUGCCUGUACAAAACAAAUAGUUCAUGAUAUCACGUACACUUUAUCUAAUGAAAUGGCGGAAUGUAUGUUUUUCUUUUCCCUGAUAGCUAAAUCUAAUUAGAGCGAAGUAUGAAGUAGCCAAUAAAUUGUUGGUGAAAUAUUUACAUGGUUAAUAGAUAUAUAAUCAUCAUACUGCCAAUAGUUGGAUAAUUAUGUUGAGUUCAUGAAGUCCUUUCAUAUAGAUAUUUGCCGGAAAUUAAUAAAGCUAUGGAUUAUGAUAGAUCUGCUAGCACUCGUUUGCAUAAUUAGUUUUCAACGUGAUGUGUAAACCAAGGUGUAUAAUGUACACCUUGGUUUAUGCAUGAUCCAUAAAUAAAAUAAAAUAUGCAUUGUACCUUAACUAUGAUAUGAAGCAUUGGAAUGGUUGGACUUCGAAGCAGAUGGAUUGGAUAAGAAGACUGAUUCAUUUUUUCUUGUACUAGAAGAUGCAAGGGAAACAGAUGCAGAAGAAUCAGUGAUGGAGACCCUAACUACUAUUCUCAGAACUUGUCAUUGACUAUAGGUUUUCUAUGGUCUCCAGAACCCGAUACUGAGCUCGAUUCUACAAGUAAGUCAUUGCUGUUAAAAUGAAUAUAAUGUCAUCCGGUCACACAAAUUAACAUCUGUUAGCUUAUCAACGUACAAAAACUAACAGGAAUUGAACUAAUCUUUGGAUGUUCUGCUGCUGCUAUUUUGGAUCUAAUAUCAUCUAUUAGCUUCCCUCAAUAGUACAAACUAUUCUUGCAGGCUUGAAUAAUUCCAAGUUCUUCCACGAACCACAUCUUCGGAUGUUUCCAGAAGUUUAUGCUCAAUUCUAUAAGCAAAAUGUUACUGAUUCUAGCAAUGGAGAGAUGAAUGAAUUCACAAUGUGGUCGAGUUUGGGAACCUGUGAAAUUGCCAGAAGUAAUGGAGUUUGCUCUAAGGACAUGUCCCCCCUCUCCCGGGUCCAUCACAAGAGAAAAUUUUUGUGGAUUUGUCCGAGGUAAUUAAUUCCGUUUUGUGAAAACCCAUUUGUGUGCCACAUCAAUUUCCGAUACAUACGAUACUUUUCUCAAAGGUGUGCAAUAUCGGACCAGGUCAAGCUCUAGGUAAUGGUAUGUUCUUCUAAUUAUUUGUGCCUUAGGUCCCUCUUUUUUGUCAUGCCGUAAGAAGUCAUUUUUAAGCAGUUAAAGAAGAAGAAGACCUAAUUCUCCAGAUAAACCAGUAUUUCGGAGUCAGUAGCAGUGAUUGUGAUCAAUUUUUUGGUCAUAUACAGCAGGGCACUGUUUCUUUAUCCAUUUUUGGUAGAUUAAUGGUUCUACCAAAGUUGCUCAAAUAACUAAAUAAUGCCAAAAUACGAAAAAAAUAAAAAUAAAAUGAACGAAACAAUCAAGCUGGAAAUAGACUGUAUCUGGGGCUGUUGAUCCUUUAAUCUAAACUAGCUCACAGUACACAUGAACUUGAAAAGAAAAAGGACAGUGAAAUAAGAAAGUGGUGACAGUAAGCCUCUUGACAAAACUCUUCUGCCUUUGCAGAUAUGGAGGAGAGCUCUAUUCCUAUGUGCUACCGAUGAAUGACGGCUGCUUCAAUUUGAUGCUCAAUAUCAGCAAUAAAUGUUUCGAGCCUCUCUUUUCCCUCUGCAAGCUAAGCCUUCUUUCAAAGAUCUCUCCCUCAUAACAAAGUCGAACUUGUAGCCCUCCAAAGCUUUCUUCUAUGGCUUUUGACACUUUCAUUUGCUUUUGCUUGCGGUUGUACCUAAAAGCUUCAAUGCCAUCCUCAGAGAGAGUAUAAAAUUCUUCACACUUGUGCUGAUAUUCAGUAAGAUUAAGUCUAUCUUCAUCCUGGAUCAGUUAGACCAGCCGAAACUUUAUAUUCUUUUAUUUUCGAGGUCUGAGUCAGAGGCACUGUGGGAAUAUCCACACCAAAGGAGUAAAUAUAAUUCUUCCCACUCGGCUUCAGCUCUUCAGAAAUUGAUGGGCUAAGAUGGCCAGAUGAUGAAGCCAUACCGACAGUAAUUGAGUUCAACUCCUGGUCGAUUUUAGGGUUGACAAUGCUGAGCAAUCCUUGAGUUCUGUUUCGCUUGGCCAAGGGAGUCUCUUCUACAUCUUCUCCGACAAUGACUGUUGAUGACUUUCGUUUGCAGGUUUCAACAAUCGAGAGAAAGAUGUUAGAUGGUUAUUAAAGGACGAAAGGAAACGAAGGAAAUGAUAAACAAAUUUUUACGAAGUCCUGUCCUGUAAUUACUCUUGAGUAUUGAUAAUGAUGGAUUCGAUGGGGAUGCAUUAGAAGUUUGAGACACUCCAAACGGAUCAUCCUUCUUUCACCUUCUCUAAAAAUGAAUCACCGCUUUUGACAAACAUCCAAUUGUAACAGGAAUUCCACCACCCAAAAAAAAAAAAAAAAUCGUGCUUUGUGGGUUCUUGAGGAAUGGAAUAUGCAUGUACCGAUUGAAUAUAUUGAGGCGGAUGUCGAUGUAGUGCAAUGUCGCAUCUAUGCUCAGUCUAUGGAGAGAGGAAAUUUUGUUUGAUAUAUAGUUGGCCUAGGAAUUCCCUGAGCCAAUUCAAACUGUUGAGUACAAUAUUUAGGAUGAUAAACCCAGAUUCCGGGAAGAACAUUUCUCCGUUUGACAAAUUUAAGAGGAUGAUCAACAGAGACCAAGACGGUCCUCCAGAAUCUCCCAAUCAUGGCCGAGCCAUUAUAAGAGUAAAUAGAGAAGUAGGAAUAUCUAUGGGACAUAAGUUGAAAUUUUUACGCCUUAGGUCGCAAUAAGAAAAUACUUGGACUGGGGCAAGCUCUAGGUAUCGGUAUGUUCAACUAAUAAUUUUUUAGCCAUAUGUCCCUCCUUUUUUAAAGUCGUAAGAAGUCAGUUUUAAAUAGUUAAAGAAGAAGAUGACCUAAUUCUCCAUGUAAUUCAGUAAUUCAGAGUCAGUUGCCGUAAUUGUUAUCAAUUUUUUGGUCAUAUACCGCAAACCACUGUUUCUCUUUCCUUCCUUGAUAGAUUUUCUGCCAAAGUUGCUCAAUAUCUAAAGAAUUCAAAUAAUAAAAUAAGGUGAAAAUGAAGAAACAAUCAAGCUGGAAAUACAGUUUUUGGGCUUGCUGAUCGUCAAAAUCAACUUAGUGAAAGCUCCUUGAAAAUCUGUCAAGAUUUUACUAACAUGCACAGUAGAUGGCCCUGCAUUUCUCAGCCAUAGAUGACUAGACCUAACAGAAGAAAAUCUGUCUUUCCAGUGCCGAUGUUUGCGAAUUAGACAAAACUAAUGGUCAAACAAACAUGGUUGGAUGAUAUGGGCAUUUGCACAUUCCGUAAUGCUAGCCAAAGAGCAUUUGUAAUGACUAUCAUUAGAAUUUUUGUUCAAGUAAUUCACUGGUAAUGGCAGAAGAGACUAAUUAGAUGAUAUCUGCAUUUUUGCAUCCUACAAUGCUAGUGAAAGAGCCAUUCGAAUUUUCUUCUAGUAGGUGGCAGUGGAAGAGGCCAUUGAAGGAUUGAAGGCGGAUAUUCAAGCAAUUUACUGCUAUUAAUUUUCUGUUCUGCUAUCAUAUAGUGCAAUGUACAUCAGCAUGUUUUCCAUUUACUGCUAUCAUUUUGCAGGUGCACCUGCCUGGCGCAUCUUUGGAUGUUUGACAAAUGGUGCUACAACUUUUUGUCCAGUGCUGAUAUCAUCUGUAGGCCGGCGUAUUGCCAAGCAUUGAUGGCUUCGAAUUCCAGUUGAAAUAUCUUCUUCAGCUUCUUUCUGGUCUAAUACUUCAUUUCAACUUCUUCUUCAUGAGAUGCCGCCUCCCUUGGCGUUGGUGAUUUGGUAUAUGAAUAGGAUUCUUUGACAAGUAAAUUUAAUGUCACUACCUAAAUUAUGAAGAAGGCUGGCACAGAGUUAAUAGAGAAAUGCCAAAAGCAAGUUAAUCACGGCAUAACAAUGAGAAAUGUAGCAAGAUAUCCCCUCCCUAAGGCGUGAAGCAAGAUAUUUGGAGUUCAAUUGUAUUGGAUACAACCUUUGCGGUUCCUUGAUUUAUGGACUUUUGCCCACUGGGGUCCUUGAUCUCAGGGCACUAUAUUGAUUGAGUGAUAUCAUCUGAUUACCAACUAGACCUUAAGCUUUAGCCAUAGGCUGAUGAGGGUGUAGAAAAAAGAAUCCUGCUUGACUCGUCGAAGCUCAUAGUACACAUGAACUUGAAAGAAAAAAGAAAGCAUAAUAACAAAAGUGGAAAAAACAUGCCUCUUGACAAUUUUCUUCUCUCUUCGCAGAUAUAGAGGAGAGCUCUAUUGCUAUGUGCUAUUGUUCGAGUUCCCAGGAAUUGGAUUUUGGACUUCACUGGAUAAAGCAGGCUGCUAAGGGACUAGUUUCAGGUUGAUUAUGCCGAAGCUAGUGUGGAAAGGUUCCAUAUACAAUCUAUGGAGAGCUAGGAGUGACUUGCUGCGUAAUCAAGUUACUCCGGUUGUUGAUGUUGUGAUGAAGUCUCUUAUGUUUGCAGUAAGACUAGGCAUCAAAGGGCCCAAGCUGCUGCAGCAAAAAGUUUGUUCUAAUUUGGCAUUGGCCUUAAGUUUGUAACUGGCAAAUUCAGUGUAGCGGAACACAAAUUGGUGUGCUCGGCCUUUAGCAACUAGUCCUGUAACUGCUUCGGAUAUUUGGGCAGUUAUUAUUCAUGUUCUGGUUGAAGUUGAUGUUGUUGCUUGAGUAUUUUCCUAGUCUGUUAUAAUCAACCGCCGGUAAUGGUUUGCUGAACGCAAUCACCUGUUUGCGACUUGUACUGGGUUUGGCUUCCGAGCAUGGUUUGAUGAAGAAAUGAAUUUAACUUGCCCAUAAAAAGGUAGGUAUUUAAAAACAUUUUCGAGCUUGACAAGGACAUACAUCCUUGUCUGAACAUAGACAUUUCGAGAGUCAUUCCUUCGAAAAGAUCCUGAAAUCCACUAUUUAUCACGGUGGUACAAGUCCCUAUUUUAAUCUGAAUACGAAAAUGAAAUGUGGAUAUAGGGGGCAUGGACACAGUAAGAGAAAAGUUGGACAUCAACAAUUUUGGAAAUAUUGUUGGUUUUGGAUAAAUAAUAUUGAGUAGAUAAUUUUGGAAAAAUUUCAUUUGUAUGAUGAAGAUCUUUAAUUAAUCAACUUUUAGGAUGGUGGGUUUUUGUUUGAAAAGCUGGAUUUAACGUAUGGAGGUUUCGUUGUAGGAUAAUACUCUUUGCUCAUACCAUCAUUGGGCAUAUGCCGGAGCUAAUGCAUGGAAAUAUCACAACGUAUACCAUUUAUAUGGUGCAUAUAUCCUCAUCUCACAUAAUUAUGAGUUUUAUAUAAAUGAGAUUCAUACAAUAUUGACAUAUAUAACAUGCUCAUAAGUAAUUUCUUGUCGGAGCGGAGUUAUAGACUAUGUACGAUGGCUCCUUUGAAUAGGUAGAGAUGAGCCCUCAAUCCUUCUUGACUUCUUAACUAUAGUUGCUUUAUUCAUGGAAAAUCCUUUGCUGGAAGCAGCUUGACAGUUUUUGUAACAGUACAAACCGUGCCAAGCUCCUUUUUCAUUUUUGCAAUAUAUAUAUAUAUAUAUAUAAUGUCAAAUGGUCGAUCAAAGGAGAAAUUAUUUUAUGCACUUAGUAUAUAUGAUAAACUAAAUCCAGAUUGCCAAAUUUGGUGAAUCGCUGAUCAUUUCAAUGGCCCACAUUCAAUUUGGUAUAUAUACUACGCACAUGUAAUAUAAUUUCUGCAUUAAGAAAGUCAAUGGGAAGAGGAGAGCUAUCCAUGUUGGUUUUAGUAUUGCAAGGAAAUUAUCCUCUCCGCCCAUGCCUAGAGUAUAAUUUGUUAUGAGAUUUCAUACCACAUUAAUUGAUCCAUUAAUUAUUAAGAAAAUUGUCCAAAAAAUCAUAAAUCUAUUAUAUGACGUUCAUGUCAAUGAUUUUCGAUACUUUGAUUUUCCGAUUUCUCAUCUUUUUUUUUUUUUUGAUAGGGUGGAUCUGCGAGGGAAAAAUGAAUGUUUGUUUCUGUCCCUUUCUUUUUAACUAAAACCGCAAAACGAAUUGUGAUUAGGAUAGAAGGGCAUGUUUGUCAGGCAUUAAAUAAAAGUAAAAAUUAUUCAUCUUAUUUUUCAUCAAAAUCUAUAUAAUUAUGGGUAAUUGUUUAAAAAGAUAUUUCUUCUUUUAUCAAUAUUAGGUAAUUGUUUACGAUCUUGCAAACCCAAGAGUUGAUGCAAGUGCAAUUUGUAUAAUCUAAAUUUUGACAAGAUUUGAAAGUUGCUCCCUCUUCCGAAAUCCAAUUGAGUCGAAACUACACAUACAUCAUUGUUUAAAGGGUCCGGCUUUUCCCACUCCUCAUUUGGCUUGUACAAGUCAUUCCACUGUGUUAUGACCAUAUUACCCCUUGCCUUUUCAAAUGUUAGCAUGCUCAUGCGUGGUGCCCAUUGGUGUCCCUCUUUUUUAUUUGUUUCGUCUUCUUCUUCCACUUUCUCCUCCUUCUUAGUCCGCCCAAGCAUGGUCAAUUUAAGUUCUUUGUUUAGUUUUGCGUUCUUUUUUUUUUUUUUCGGUCUCUUUAGAAUUCUAUCAAUUCUUGUGCACCCCUAACUUAGAUGAGAAAAAUCAUACCGAAAAUCCAUUCCAUCAUCAACAUGACUUGGAGCAUCACUAGGCCAAUCUUGCACAUUAUUAGCCAUUACAGCCACAGAACAAUGAGUUUGCGCAUCAAUGCUAAAGCCGGACAAGUUGCUCGAGUAAUCGUCAACGGUGUUGGAGGUGUGGAGGAUUCGGGCCGGUUAGUGAAGUCGGAGGUGUACCGGUGGUAGUGGGUGGGGGAAGAUGGACGGCUUGGAAUGGGAGUCCACGCAGAUGAUUGCAGGUCUUCGCCGUUUUGAUUAGACGAGCAUUGGACAUAGAAGAAGAAAAAGAAGCAGAGCGAGAGAGCGAUGUCGUUUUAGAGUAUCUGGAAUUGGCGGAACGGAACGAAAAAUUGGCAAAAGAGAAAAAGAGGACUGGCUAGGUGGGUGACGAAGUGGACGGCGUGUCAUUUUAUGGGUGCCCAUAUCAAAUGGAAAUGUUGAAUCUUUUUUUUUUUUUUUGUUAAUAAGUAAUUGAUUAAAUGAACUAAUUAAUUUAAUAAAAAAUGAUUAAUUUAUUUUCCCUUCCUUUCAAGCAAUGUUGGACGAACGAACUUGCCUCAAAAUUGAUAUGCUCACGCAUGUGAAGGCUGAUGUCAUAUUCACGAGGAUAACGUCAUCCACGUCCAACAAUAUAAGUAUAAUUAUUAUGUAAUCACAUAAGAUUACAUAUAAUUGGAUAAGUACACUGGUGGGCAAAUGCUUGUUGAAUCUAAAUAUGUAUGUGGAUGUGAAACGAAACUUUUCGGAUAAGAUCUUUACCAAAAAAAAAAACUUUUAGGAUAAGAUUAUUUUUAGCAAUCAAACUCUUAGUGAAUGUUUGAAGUUGGUCGUCCAAUUUCUACUUUGUUCAAAUUGAUCCUAGUACUCUUUUAGGUGGUCUCCGACUCUCCAUGGUCAAGUAAUUUUAAUUGGUCUUCCCAAAGAAAAGCUUACGUGGCAGCAUUUCUUUUUUUCUUUUUUCCUGAUGGAGAAUGCAAGAAAGCCGAUCUUUGCAAUUAGAAGGUGACUUUUUGAGCUAUUUAUAGAUCUACAAGUACAUGCCAUCUUUAGAGACAAUACUUACAAGUGUUCAUGUACACAUAUAUAAAAAAUUUCUUCAGUAAUCCAUAGAUUUAGAACCUUUAGAAGAAAGAAUGUUACUUAAAAAAAUAAAUAAGCUAGGCAGAACUUAUUUAUAUUUUCUAUUGCGUAUAUAUUUUCUCAAUUUAACUUUAAUUUACAUGUGAAACAAAAAAAAAAGGAAAUUUGCUCCAGAAUCCAAUUUUUUGCAUUUAUUGUACCGCUAAUUUCCUUAUAACAUGUCUUUAGGUUAAUACAAUCAAGACAAAAACAUAGUUACAAGUUUACUUUUGCCAUAUUUUCGGAAUCAUGAGUAUAGUAGUAUGACGUAUUUUCUUCCUCUUAUCAGUAUUUCAACUCUUAAAUUAUUAUAUUCAUCUAAGAAGUUAUAAAUAUUAUUAUUCAAACGACCUUCGACUCCUCUCUUGUAUCACAUUUCCUUUACCAUAAGUUAUUCAUAAUUGAAAACUUGCAAGAAAAGAUAUAUCCGAGUGAAGUGUGCAUCAAGUAAUUAACCAAAAAACCAUAAAAACAAAAAUGGAGCUAGUGUCGUUGCGUGGGCAGUUUUCUAAUCAAGUUACUAAGCUGCAAGUAAUGGUUUGCUGAAUGGGAUCAAUUGUUAUGGGUUUGGUUUGGCUACCCAGCCUAGUCUGAUGAUGAAUUGAACUUAACCUGCCCGUCCAAAAAACAAGAAAAAAAAAAUUGAAUUUCGGAAUAUUUUUCGAGCUUGACCCGGGUCAAACGUCCUUCUCUGUUUACUUUAGGCAUCGGAUGCCGAUCCAGGCCGAAAGCUCGUAUAUCCGCAUCUUGCACGUGGGCGCGGGUCCAUUUCGAGGAAGAGAACUUUUGAGGGAUUCCUUGAGAUCGGUUUGUGCAUUCACAUAUGAUUUCUACUUUCUAACCCUAACAAAGAGUUUGAUGAUGAAUUGAAUUUAACCUACCAGUAAAAAAUCCAAGAAAAAAAAUUGAAUUUCGGAAUAUUUUUCGAGCUUGACCGGGUCAAACGUCCUUAUCUGUUUACUUUAAGCAUCGGAUGCCGAUCCAGGCCGAAAGCUCGAAUAUCCAGUUCUUGCACGUGAGCGCGGGUCCAUUUCGAGGAAGAGGGCUUUUGAGGGAUUCCGUGCAUGGAACGUUUCCGGAACACUUCUGUACGGAAAGUGUUUCCGGGAACAAAAAAGGAACAGAAACGCGUUUAGUUGCGUUUCUGUUCUUUUUGUUUUUUUGUUUAUGGAACGAAAUAAGAACAAAAAAAAGAAACAACAAUUUGUUGUUUCUUGCUCCGAAAACAUUUCUCUUCUCUCUCUUCUUCUUCUCUUCUUCUUUUCUUCUUUUUUUUCUUCUUUUUUCUUUCGCCGGUCGCCGGCCUCGGCCAUGGCCGGCGACCGGCUGUCGAGGCUCGGCCUCGCCCAGAUCCGGCGAGGCCGAGCCUCGCCUUGGCUGGGCGGGCUCGGCCUCGCCGGAUCUGGGCGAGGCUGCCGGCCCCGUCGGCCGGUCGCCAGAGGCCGGGGACCGGCUGAAAAAAAGAAAAAAUAAAAAGAAAAGAAAAAAUAAAUAAUAAAAUAAAAAUGUUUAAAAAAUUAAAAGAAACAAAAAAAGAAUAAAAUUUACCAAACGUGUUUCUAUUCAUUUUUUAUUCCCGGACCAAACGUUACCAAACGCGUUCUUUUGUUCAAAAAUUGUUCCCCGGAACAGAAACACUUUUUUUUGUUUCUGUUCCCAGGAACAAAAAAGAAACAGAAUUGUUUCCAUGCGCAAUGAGAUCGGUUUGUGCAUUCACAUCAUGAUUUUUUACUUUCUAAACCCCACCGAAGACGCAGCUCCAACUCUAAGCAGGCAAAAACUAGAGAGAGACAGAGAGAACUUUUGCGAGAGAAGCCCCCCAAAAACAUGGCAGCAACCGGUGGUUCCAGCGCGUCGGCGACACAGUACGACGUGUUCCUGAGUUUCAGAGGCCCCGACACUCGCGACACCUUCACCGACUACCUCUAUCGGACCAUGGUCGGCCAGGGGAUCGUCGCUUACAGAGACAGCGAAGAGCUUCACGCUGGUGAUCGGAUCGACGAUCUCUUGAGAGCGGUCGGCAACUCCAAGAUCUGCAUACCGGUCCUCUCCAAAAGCUAUGCUUCGAGUGCUUGGUGCCUCCGCGAGCUCGCUCGAGUGACGGAGCUCCAUGAAUCGACUGGGAAGCCGGAGAUCCUACCCAUCUUCUUUGAUGUCACGCCCUUGGACGUCAAGCUCAGGACGGAACUCUACCGGAAGGAGUUGGACAAGCAUGAGCAGAGGCACGGUGCCGAGAUCAGGCAACGGUGGGAGGCGGCUCUGGGUAAAGUGGCUGAGAUCAAGGGAUGGGAAGUCCAAGGGAAAGCGUAAGUAUAUGCUUAUUUAUGGAACUCUUUUCAAGCUUCAGUACAAAUGCUAUUCUCUUAUUGUUCUUGUAAAUGGCAAUGAAAACUAGCCGAAGGUGUAUAUAUUGUUGAAAUAUAUCGGUUGACGUGGCAUAUACGAAUUAGUUUUUGGUAUAUGAGCAAUAAAUUUCAUUUCUCACCGGGGAGGAAAAAACAGAGGCAAUUCACUAAUUCUCAUACAUAAGCAGGGCCAUUUUGGCUAGUGAUAGUUAGACGAGUGAAUUGGAUCUAAUUUUGGAAUGAUGUCUGUAAUUCGGUCCGCAAAGGAACAUCUUCUUUCUCAGAAAUAGGGUCAAAUUGUAAGUUUAUCGUACCAAUCAUAUCCUGUGGAGUCUAUUACACCAAAAUUCUUGUGGCUCUAUAGAAUUUACUUGAGACUUAAAAAUAGUGAUCCAUCUCAAAUGCUAUCUGCUAGGAAGUAGUAGUGAGAUUGUUAUUUGUUUUCUUUAACUAAAAGUGUUUGGUAUGUGGCAGACAAGGUGAAGUCAUUGAACACGUUGUGAAAGAGGUUCUGCAUAAGCUGAAAGUAAAACAAAGACCUCUGGACAACAAAUUGGUUGGGGUAGACAAACAAGUAGAAGCCAUAAUGGAGUUGUUAGAUGUUGACUAUGGAACAGGUGUGCGUUUCGUUGGAAUCCAUGGAAUGGGCGGGAUUGGUAAAACCACUCUUGCUAAGAUUGUUUUCAAUGAAUUAUGUCUUCAAUUUGAUGGACAAUGUAGCUUCAUUGGGAACGUCCAAGAAUCAUCAAAAGGAAAUGGCCUAGUAAAUCUGCAGAAACAGUUGGCAUCUAACAUCUCUGAUUCUAGAUUUGUAGAAAAUUUUGGUAACACCGAUGAAGGGAUAGAUAGCAUAAGAAGGAGAGCUAGUUCUAAGAAAGUUCUCAUUGUUCUAGAUGAUCUAGACAACAAAGAACAACUUAAGAAACUAGUUGGGGACCCUAACACUUUCUGUUAUGGGAGUAGGAUUAUCAUUACAACAAGGGACAAAAGAAUUUUGGAUGAAGAGAAGGGAAUAUUAGCUUAUGAAGUGAAGGAAAUGGAUCGUGAUAAAGCGCUAGAACUUUUCAGUUUGCAUGCAUUUAAUAGGGUCUCUCCUCCCAAUGCUUAUCAAAGUCUCUCUCAAGAAGUUGUAUCUAUGACCAGGGGACUCCCAUUGGCUCUUGAAGUCAUAGGUUCCUAUCUUCAUGACCAAAAGGAGGAAAUAUGGAAAGAAAUGCUAGAAAUGUUGAAGAACGUACCUCAUGAUGAAGUCCGGGGUAAGUUGAAGAUAAGUUAUGAUGCAUUAGGAGAUGCGGAAAAAGAAGUUUUUCUUGAUAUUGCAUGCUUCUUCAUAUCUAGAAAGAAAUUAUGGGCAACCUAUUUCUGGGAUGCUUGCCGUCUUUACCCCCAUAACUCAUUAAAAAAACUUACUGAUUUGUGUCUAAUUAAAAUCGUUGGCGAUGAUGCUAUAUGGAUGCAUGAUCAGCUGAGAGACCUCGGAAGAGACAUUGUUCGAAAAGAAUGUACCCUUAAUAGGUUGUGGAAUGACAAAGAAGCUCUGGAAGUAAUGAGAUCAAAAAAGGUAAAGUAAAAGUAGGAUCCUUACAUUAUCCACCGUGAAAUUACUUUCUCACUUCCCAUUUAAAAGAUUCCUUUUGGGCAUUCUAAAGGACAAAUUUAACGUUUGCAAGCUCAUACUCAUCGAUGGCUUCUAUUGGCAGAGAAAGGAUAACAUUCAAGCACUCAAUUUAGGUAAAUAUAAUUCAGAUCCCAUCAAUAUCGUGGAUGAAGAACUCGAGAGGAUGCCAAAUCUAAAAUUCCUUAGGCUAUAUGCAGUGAAUUUUGGUGGAGACAUCAACAAUUAUCUCCAAGAGCUAAGAUGGCUUUCUUGGCACUCUCCUCCUCUAGAUUGUACAAUGGCCCAUUUGCACUUAAACAAUCUAGUAUUUUUCGAACUUUCAAACAAUGAAAACACCGAAAACUGGGGUGGAUGGAACAUUUUGAAGGUGUGAAUUCGUACUUUUGCUCUCUUAACAUAGACAUAGUAUUCUUUGUUUUAUCCUCUUUGAUAAUAUUUCAGUGCCCUUUGCAGAUGGAAAACAGAUUGAAAGUUAUUUCUCUCUUAAAUUGUGAUGGAUUGAAACAGACUCUAGACUUUUCUAGAUGCGUGAGUUUGGAGAUACUCUCUCUUUCUCACUGUCAAUUCUAGAAGUUGACUCCUCUAUUAGGAAACUAAAAGAUCUUACUCACUUGCAAAUUAGUUCUUGCUUGAAUCUUCGAAAUUUGCCUAAAGAGAUUGGAGGACUAGUGAAUCUGAAGCACCUUUCUCUUGACGGGUGCUCCAAAAUCAAGAAACUUCCAGACAUCGGGAAAUUAGCAUCAUUGUCGAAGUUGGAUAUAUCAGAGACAAAAAUUACAAGUUUACCCGAUUCUAUUGGUAAUGCAAAGAACCUAUCAUCCCUUGAUCUAUCAUACACGUCAAUUGAGAAACUUCCGAUUUCUAUUGGAGAGCUUACACAACUUAAGUUCCUUUCACUCUCUAAUUGUCGAAAUUUUAUGGAGCUUCCAGAAUCAAUAGGUUAUUUGACAACAUUACAGAAUUUGGAUCUCUCAUUGACAAAAAUUGUUGAGUUACCUGAUUCGAUAAAGAAUCUCAAGCAAUUGAAGGUGAUGAAGAUGGGAUAUUGUCCAUUAUGGAGGUUUCCUAUCGGUAUUGGAAUGCUAGAGAGCUUGGAGGAGCUCAAUGUCCAAUAUUGUGAACAACUUGCAGGCGAACUCCCAACUGAAAUUGGCAAACUAUUGUCUCUAAGUAUCCUAGACAUAUCAUAUACCUGUGUUUUGGCAGUGCCGACAACAAUCAAUUCUCUCACGCGACUCCAAAAGCUAGAUUUAUCAUUUUGUGAUAAGGUUCAAGAGUUGCCAGAACUUCCCUCGAGUUUGAAUCAGCUACGUGUUCGAUCGGCAUCAUUGCAGUUAGUUCCGAAUCUCAGUAACCUCACGAAUCUAGUGGAUUUGGAACUGUCCACCAACUCUGGACAAGCACUUGCGCAGGCAUCAACUCUUCAAUUGCAAUGGGUUGGGAAGUUAUCUAAGCUGGAGCAAUUGGAGUUGUGCCUUUCGGAUCUUCUUGUGCCGUCAACGGAGUUGGGUUGCCUACCUCGACUUAAAAAACUCACCUUACCUAGCAUGGAUAGUUUCAACUCGGCAGUCGUUGGACCACAACUUUCGCACUUGAAAAUUUUGUCCACAUUGCAUCUUUGUCGAUGUCCACUGACGGAAAUUCAACUAGAUGGGCUUGAACUAUUGGGAGAUUUGACUGUGACAUACUACGAGUUUCUCAAGGGAUUGUCAGUUAUUUCAUCGAGCUUGAAGAAGCUUUCUAGAAUGGAAGUUAGUAAUUGCCCAGAGUUACUUCAAAUUCGAUUUCUCAGUACGAUGGAAUCAUUGGAGAGGCUCAUAGUUAAAUACUGCGAAUCCCUAGGAGGGUUGUAUGGUUUAUCAAACUUGAAGAAGCUGAACUUUUUAACAUUCAUCAGGUGCCCUGUGCUACGGGUUAUUGAGGACCUUGAAGAAUUGGAGCUUUUGCGGGACUUGGAUUUCAUCACGUGUCCAUCGUUGAAAGUGUUGACUAAUCUAUCCAACUCAAAGAUACCAAAUGAAUGCGAGAUAAGUAUACGGGAUUGCGAGAAGUUACCAGAAUGCUGUUUAGGCCGUUACGGGGAUUAUAGAGAGGAGAUUCUUGAUUGGACGAGGAGGGGAUUAAACCAGGUGCGCCUUCCUUCUACCCUUCACUUUAUUUUUCAAAUUUUAAUUUUUCAGAAACGCAGGCGGUAGGCAUGACUUUUCUUUCCCUUGUUCCGUUUACUUUCAUCUCUCUUUCUCUCUCUACGUUCCGCAGACAACGUGUCGUGUGGUUCUUUCUUUGUUAACAUUUCUCAAUACUCGGCCUUCUUCCUUUCAGGAGGGUGCGGCGCGGUUCUUCGAACGUGGCCAACCGCUCAUCGUACAGGUAUGGUCUCUUCUACGGACCCAAAAUUCUUCUCGCGUCGAUGAAGUGAGAAAAUUUCUUUUUCUCGAAUGUGUUGGGUGAAAAUUUUAUCUUUCAUGAACUCAAUAUAUUCUCAAAUAUUGAAGAACUUAAGUAUUGCAAAAUGAAAUUAAGGUUGUUUUCAGAAAAUAAGUUGCAGUCUCUAGAGAUCUUUGUGCUAAAACGAAAAUAAUAAAUGUUCCCUAAAACCAAAUUAACUUGAAAUUUUCUUUCAGAUACGGGGGAAUCCGUAAGCAGAGAGAUGAGUUUAAGGUAGAAGAUAGAGAUCCUAAAAUAUCACUUGAGUCAAAUUAAAUUUCAAUUACAAAAUUUUUACCUACAGGGAGUAGCCUUGUUAAUCUAGACACAUAGAUGCACUUAGUGAAUAGUCUAGAAGGUAGACACCUGAGAUGAUUAUUAACUCUCACAUGUCAACCAUACAAUUAUGAGUAUAACUAUUUCUUACACUGGAAAUUGAUGUAAUAAAAAUCCUUCAUAUAAACAAGAAAGUGAUUGUGUCAAUAUUUCCCCAACAAAAGAUAAAAAUUUGGUGCGUGGGCACGAAAGUAGAAGCUCAACUGUGGUUGGUUGUUCAAAUAGAUUUCUCUUAAACAACUACACUUUCCUUUCAUAUUUUAAAAUGAAAAUAUAAUUGUAUACAAAUGAAUAUAUGAUUUAUGUAAUUUGAAAGAUUUGAGGUGUUACAAUUGGAUGAGCCAUGAGAAAAGGGAUAACAGUGAAAAAACAUAUAACGAAAACAGAGGUAGCUUAUAAGCAGUACCCUUUGUAACAAUGUUCUACUUGUCCUGCUACGCCUGUCAGACUAACUGAAUGGUUUGGCAUUCUCCAUAAGAAGGCAAGCAUGUGAAAAUAGUACAACUCUAUCAUUUGCCCAUAUUUUACUUAUUGCUUGAUAUUACAAUUUUUUCUCGUCAAAGGAUUUACUCCAGAUUUCUAUUAAACACAUGUAGAAAACAGAUAAUUCAUGAUAUCUAUUUAUCUAAUCACGCAGCGAAACAUAUUGUUUUGUUUUGUUUUCCUGAUAGCUGAAUCUGAUAAGAGUGAAAUACGAAGUAGCCAAUGAAAUCUGGCUGAAAUAUGCACAUACUUCAUGGACAUUGAAUCAUUAUACUGCUAUAUUGUUGGAUAAUUAUGUUCAUCAAGUUCCUUUUUAUGAAUACAUGUCAAAAGCUAAUAAAAGCAGGGACUUUUGAUGAGACAUCAACAAUCAUCACCUGAAGUUAAGAUGGCUUUCUUGAGGUUUUCCUCCUCUAGAUUGUAGAACGGCCAAUUUGCACUUUAAAAAUCUAGUAACUUCCAAACUUUCACACAAUUAAAACACCAAAAACCAGGGAAGUUGAAAAUUUUUGAAAGUCUGAAUUUGUACUUUUGUUCUCUCAACAUAGAAUUUUACUUCUUAUUUUUUCCUUUGACGCCGCUCUGAUAAUGUUUCAGCUACUUUUGUAGAUGCUAGAAGAAUUGAAGGUUCCAUAUCACAAAGACUGGGAUGGAUUGAAAUGGACUGGUUACCCUAGUUUGGAGACAUUGUAUUUUCACUACUGUCUAAACGUGCGAAAAUUUGACUCCUCUAUUGGGAAGAUGAAAGUUCUUACUCACUUGGACAUUAUUCGGUGUACGAAUCUUCGAACUUUACCCGAAGAGAUUGGAGGACUGGUGAAUCUGAAGCACUUGUCUAUCAAAAAGUGCUCCCAAAUGGAGAAACUUCCAUACUCUAUAGGGAAAUUAGGAUCAUUGUCUAAGUUGGAUAUAUCAUCCUCAAGAAUUACAAGUUUACCUAAUUCAAUUGGCAAUGCGAGACAUCUAUCAUUCCUAAAUCUAUCAGGCACGCCAAUUGUGGAACUUCCAAUUUCUAUCGGAGAGCUUACGCAACUCGAGUUUCUUUCUCUCAAAUAUUGUUGAAAUUUGGGGGAGCUUCCAGAAUCAAUAGGCAACUUGACAUUGUUACAGAAGUUGAAUCUCUCAGGGACAAACAUUGUUGAGUUACCUAAUUCGAUAAAAAAUCUGAAGCAAUUGAAGGUGAUGAGGAUUGGAUUUAAUCCGAUAAGGAGGUUACCUGCCAGUAUUGAAAUGCUAGAGAAGUUGGAGGAGCUCUAUGCCGAACAUUGUGAACAACUUGCAGGCGAACUUCCGAUUGAAAUUGGCAAACUAUUGUCUCUACGCAUCCUAGACAUUUCAUAUACCCAUAUUAGUGCAGUGCCGAUGGCAAUCAAUUACCUCACGCGACUCCAAAAGCUGGAUCUAACACAUUGUGAUGAGCUUCAAGAACUGCCGAAGCUUCCCUCGAGUUUGCAUUGUAUACGUGUUCACUCGGCAUCAUUGCGGUUAGUUUCGAAUUUCAGUAACCUCACGAAUCUAGUGGAAAUGCUUUUGUCUAACGGCUUUGGACAAGCACCUGCCCAACCAUCAAACCCAAUGCAAACUUUCCAAUUGCAAUGGGUUGGAAAGUUAUCUAAGCUGGAGAAGUUGAG